CCUGGCUCAGAACGAACGCUGGCGGCAGGCCUAACACAUGCAAGUCGAGCGCACCUUCGGGUGAGCGGCGAACGGGUUAGUAACGCGUGGGAACGUGCCCUUCACUGCGGAAUAGCCACUGGAAACGGUGAGUAAUACCGCAUACGCCCUUCGGGGGAAAGAUUUAUCGGUGAAGGAUCGGCCCGCGUCUGAUUAGAUAGUUGGUGGGGUAACGGCCUACCAAGUCUACGAUCAGUAGCUGGUUUGAGAGGAUGAUCAGCAACACUGGGACUGAGACACGGCCCAGACUCCUACGGGAGGCAGCAGUGGGGAAUCUUAGACAAUGGGCGCAAGCCUGAUCUAGCCAUGCCGCGUGAGUGACGAAGGCCUUAGGGUCGUAAAGCUCUUUCAGCUGUGAAGAUAAUGACGGUA
rnacentral:rRNA from 1 species